rnacentral:rRNA from 1 species
GAGUAACACGUGGGCAAUCUGCCCUUCACUCUGGGACAAGCCCUGGAAACGGGGUCUAAUACCGGAUAAUACUGCGGAUCGCAUGGUCUGCGGUUGAAAGCUCCGGCGGUGAAGGAUGAGCCCGCGGCCUAUCAGCUUGUUGGUGGGGUGAUGGCCUACCAAGGCGACGACGGGUAGCCGGCCUGAGAGGGCGACCGGCCACACUGGGACUGAGACACGGCCCAGACUCCUACGGGAGGCAGCAGUGGGGAAUAUUGCACAAUGGGCGAAAGCCUGAUGCAGCGACGCCGCGUGAGGGAUGACGGCCUUCGGGUUGUAAACCUCUUUCAGCAGGGAAGAAGCGAAAGUGACGGUACCUGCAGAAGAAGCGCCGGCUAACUACGUGCCAGCAGCCGCGGUAAUACGUAGGGCGCAAGCGUUGUCCGGAAUUAUUGGGCGUAAAGAGCUCGUAGGCGGCUUGUCGCGUCGGAUGUGAAAGCCCGGGGCUUAACCCCGGGUCUGCAUUCGAUACGGGCAGGCUAGAGUGUGGUAGGGGAGAUCGGAAUUCCUGGUGUAGCGGUGAAAUGCGCAGAUAUCAGGAGGAACACCGGUGGCGAAGGCGGAUCUCUGGGCCAUUACUGACGCUGAGGAGCGAAAGCGUGGGGAGCGAACAGGAUUAGAUACCCUGGUAGUCCACGCCGUAAACGUUGGGAACUAGGUGUUGGCGACAUUCCACGUCGUCGGUGCCGCAGCUAACGCAUUAAGUUCCCCG